rnacentral:rRNA from 1 species
CCACAGUGUCUGUGAUACCGUUUAGUGGAUAACUUGGCUUGGGCCCCGAUGAAGAGCGUGGCAAGCUGCGAAAAGCCCAGGGUAGACGCAUGCAGUCUUUGAGCCUGGGAUUCUUGAAUUGAUCCGAAAGGAUCGGGGGACGCGGUGAAUUGAAUCAUCUUAGUAACCGCAGGAAAAGAAACCAAUUGGGAUGCUGUUAGUAGGGGCGACCGAAAACAGCAGAGAACAAACCGAAUCCGCUGGAGUAAUUCAGUGGAAAUGUGGUGUUUUGCGAGCCGGUUACAACCAUAAGUUCGAGCAGAAGUCGCCUGGAAAGGCGUACCAUAGAGAGUGAUAGUCUCGUAAGCGAAGAAUAGUUGGUUGAUUUCCGGAUUUCGAGAGUAGGGUGCGUCGGAUUUCGCGCCUGAAGACGCGGGCCAUUGACCUGCAAUCCUAAACAUUGACCCAAGACCGAUAGCGUACUAGUACCGUGAGGGAAAGUUGAAAAGUACCCUUGACAGGGGUUGAAAUAGCACUUGAAACUAAACGGUUACAGUUCGGCAGAGGCAUGAAAGAGAAGACGGCUGCAGAAGGAAGUAAUCGCAAGAUUAUUGUACGAUGCGGCCUGAUCAGUGUCCUGUCGUCCGUCUUGAGUCACGGCCUGGGGAGUUGUUUGUUGUGGCAAGACUAAGGAGUUAGAACUCCGGAGUCGUAGCGAAAGCGAAACCGCGCAUCUUGUAAGAGUGAGGCGGGAAGUCUGAAUAAGGCUUUAUAGUCACAGCAGGCAGACCUGAAACCCGUUGCGAACUUUUCCUGAACCAGGCGAAGCCUUCCUCCCGGAGGGCGGAGGCCUUAACCAGUUCUAGUCUAACUGUUUGGAUGAUUUGGGAAAAGAGGUAAUAGGCUAUUCGAGCCGGGUGAUAGCAGGUUCCUCCUGAACGGUCUCUAAGGACCGCUUCGAUGGAGCAUGUGCAUGGUGUAGAGAUACUGAUUAAAAAGUACGGGCCCGAAAGGGUUCGCUUUUUUGUCAAACUCCCAAGCUAUGCAUUGCGUUGAAGUCGAGAGUCGGGGCAGUCGGGUAAGCUGAUUGUCCGAGAGGGGAAAAACCCAGACAUGGGUUAAGGCCCAUAAAUGCUAGUUAAGUGUGAAUAACCAAAAAUGGUCGUCUUUCUAAAACAGUGGGGAGGUUGGCUUAGAAGCAGCCAUCCUUUAAAGAAUGCGUAACAGCUCACCCACCUAGAAAAACGGCGUUGAAAAUUAACUGGGCUAAAACUAGCUGCCGAAACCCAUGGCCACGCAGUUUUGCUGCGUGAUGCAGUAUGGAGGUGUUCGGAUGGCGUCAAAGCAAGGGCGAGAGUUCUUGUGAAGCCGUCUGAAAUAUGGAUCCCAGGGCUAGUAACAACAAAGAAGGAUGAGAAUUCCUUCCGCCGAAAGAGCAAGGGUUCCUUAGCGCUAACGAUUAGCUAAGGGUUAGUCGGUCCUAACUGUCCUCGUAAUGCGAGGAACAGGAAUGGGAAACACGUUCAUAUUCGUGUACCAUGCAACUACGUUUUCGGCAACGAUAGAUCGCUUUUCGACGUUUUGGGCUAGGGAUUGUGCGCUCGUCUGCGCAUUUAAGUGUCAUAAAUCCAUGGAGAACCGUUAAGGUGAGAAGUGGAUUAAAGGCGCGAAUAGCCGAAAGGUUUUCCUAAUGCCUGGAACCCAUGAAAAGAAAAGCGAUAAGGACGUUGCGUGACCGUACCAAGAACUGAGAAAGGUGCUCUGGCUGAACAGGCCUAGGCGUAUCGAGACAAUCAGGUUAUGGGAACUCGGCAAAUUAGCCCCGUAUCUUAGGUAUAAGGGGUGCCAGCGCUUGAAUAAAGUGCUGGUUUCAAUCACGCGAGGAGUCCGACUGUUUAUCAAAAACACAGCUGACCGCAAGUCCGUAAGGAUGAGUAUGGUCAGUGACUUCUGCUCACUGCCAGUAGGUCAAAACCCAAUUCAACGGGUCUAAGCCCUGGUGAAGAGCGGGCCUAACUCUGAGGCUCUUAUGGUAGCGUAAUACCUUGUCGUUUUAUUGGCGACUUGCACCAAGGAAGUAACGAGAUUCCUACUGUCCUUAACCUGAACUCGGUGAACUCACUAUGUGGUGAAUAUGCCACAGACUCCCGAUGGGAAGAGAAGACCCCACGGAGGUUUACAGCAUUCUGAUGUUGUGGUGUGAAUUUUGUUGCAUAGCGUAGCUGGGAGCGUCGAACCCACUCUUGCGGGGGUGGGGAAUGCGAAAGUGUAACACCAGCCUACAAAAUUCACACUGCUUACCGACCCUUUUUGGGUUGGGACACCAUUAGAUGGGCUGUUAGACUGGGGCGGUACACCCCUGAAAAGAUAUCAGGGGUGCCCAAAGGUCUGCUCAGGAGAGUCAGAAAUUCUCCGUAGAGUGCAAGAGCAAAAGCAGGCUUGACCAUCAUCCUAAAAGCACGGAUCGUGGAAUGGAAACAUGGGUCUAGCGAACAUCAGUGUCCCCAUUAAUGGGGGCCUGGUCUGACAGUGAACUUACCCUGGGGGUAACUGAGUGGUCGUGGGUGAGAGUCCACAUCGACCCCACGGAUUGCGACCUCGCCGUCGGCUCUUGGCAUCCUGGCUGUGCAUAAGCAGCCAAGGGUGGAGGUGUUAACUCAUUAAAGCCGAUCGUUAGUUGGGUUAAGAACGGUGCGAGCCAGUUUGGUUACUAUCUAUCGGGAGUGCGGAGUGUCUGAGGGAAAGAUCCAUCUAGUACGAGAGGAACAGUGGGUCGUCGCCUCUGGUGGACCAGUUGUCCGACAGGGCAAUGCUGGGUAGCUACGCGGUACGUCGAUAAAAGCUGAAUGCAUCUAAGCUUGAAGCGACCCCCGAAACUAGACACUCAUUUCCGAACGUCUUUGCGUUGCGACGUGAAGAUCGUAGGAACAAGCGUGCCGGCUAGAAUACCGGUUUGAUAGGCAGCGAAUGUACGCACGAAGCUUCGGCGACGUGUUCAGUUCAGCUGUACUAAGCACGCGAGGGACACUAGAU